CAACUGAGCUAUCCAGGCGCCCUGCUUAUCACUUUUCUAACUGAAAUAUUUUUUUCAUUCACUAAUUAGUCACAGUCAUUUUGUUUUGAUGCAUUUCCAAAUGUUAUGCUACUGUCAAAUACAACUACCCUUUCUGUACAGGUGUUCAAUUUUGAAACAUCUACAGGAAUGACACCAGUAAAAGUGAUUAGAGAAUUAAAAUAGUAUUUCCUUUAGAACAGCAGAGGUUAUGAGUUACAUGACUGUUUUUAUACUAAGAGAGCAGGUCUUGAACCUGACACUGGCGCCUUUAGUGUCGAGAACAUCAACACAAGUGCGCUUAGAACAGUGUAUUUGACUUUAUUGUAUUUAACCUCAUAAUAAAGUGCACCUCCUAAGUAUUAAACUCACAACCAUCAUGUUCUUCCAACCAGCGUUCCACCACGCUGAGCUAUCUGAUCCAACACACUUAACUACUGUAUUGAUAAGUUCUUGACUUGCUCAUUUUCAGGUUCAUAAUUGUAUUUAGAGGUUGUACCAGAAUAGGUUUAUGUGGUUUGAUUUUCAGAAAACACUGUAUAUUUGUUGUACUGCAGCUCCUCUUUUCACACUCUUUUUUUUGUGUUGAGCGCUCUGUUUUAACUACAGAGUGAGACAUGUAUAAUAUCAGCGCAGUUAAUACAAACCCCAGUCUCCUGGGUGAAAGUCUUCAUGUUUCUGGAUGUUAAACCUUAUAGUGUACCUUGUGAGUAUUGAACUCAUGACCAUUGUGUUCUUCCAACCAGCGUUCCAUCACGCUGAGCUAUAUUGAACCCUCAACCUCCAGUCUUCAUGAGAUUUGAACCUUCACCUUAUCUUACUGAGCUAUUUGCAAAGUUUGUAAAGGCUCUGGUUGGAAGUUGUAUUUAUCGUUCACAUUUCAGAGGAGAGAAGUUGAAAAACUGUCAAGACAAAUGUGGGAUUUGAUCCUUCAACCUCAGAUUGUUGAGUCAGUAACUUAUCUCUGUGAGCUAUUCCUAAUUAAUCAAUUAAGUUAUCAACCAAUUAACAGAUCAAUUAACAAAUCAAUCAACCAAUUAAUCAAUCAAUUUGAUUUGUCACAUGAAAUCAAUUAGUCUACAAGGACAAAGUGUGAACAACAAAUAAUAGAACGGAAACUUGAACUAUCAGCUUGAGGAAUAGCUCACUGAGAUAAGCUUCUGACUCAACAAGCUGAGGUUGAAGGAUCAAAUCCCACAUUUGUCUUGACAGUUUUUCAACGUCUUUCCUCUGAAAUGUGAACGAUAAAUACAACUUCCAACCAAAAUAAGUGUAUCAGAUCAGAUAGCUCAGUGUGAUGGAACGCUGGUUGGAAGAACACAGUGGUUGUGAGUUCAAUACCCAUGAGGUCCACUUCAUUAAGAGGUUUAACACCCAGAAACACCAAGUCUUUCACAGAAAAAUUAUUUCUUUCCUAAACCCAAGAGUUCGUGUUAACUGCGUACUGUAACUGUUGGAGGUGGCGGCAGAGGUGGUGGCAGAGUCGAAUGAGCAUCAGCCCUUCACCCAGGAGACUCAGGUUCACAUCCAGUGUUCCCUGGUAGGAUGUGCAUAAGGUAGGCACCACCCCGAAGGGGUGGUGCCUACCGGCAAGACAGUAGUAAAG